UACGGAGGGUGCGAGCGUUGUCCGGAAUCAUUGGGCGUAAAGGGCGCGUAGGUGGCCCGGUCAGUUCGUGGUGAAAGCGCGGGGCUCAACCCUGCGUCGGCCAUGAAUACUGCCGCGGCUGGAGCACUGUAGAGGCAGGCGGAAUUCCGGGUGUAGCGGUGGAAUGCGUAGAGAUCCGGAAGAACACCGGUGGCGAAGGCGGCCUGCUGGGCAGUUUUGCUGACACUGAGGCGCGACAGCGUGGGGAGCAAACAGG
rnacentral:rRNA from 1 species